UGGGGAAUAUUGGACAAUGGGCGAAAGCCUGAUCCAGCAACGCCGCGUGAGGGAUGACGGCCUUCGGGUUGUAAACCUCUUUCACCCACGACGAAGCGAAAGUGACGGUAGUGGGAGAAGAAGCACCGGCCAACUACGUGCCAGCAGCCGCGGUAAUACGUAGGGUGCGAGCGUUGUCCGGAAUUAUUGGGCGUAAAGGGCUCGUAGGCGGUUUGUCGCGUCGGGAGUGAAAACCCAGGGCUCAACCCUGGGCCUGCUUCCGAUACGGGCAGACUAGAGGUAUGCAGGGGAGAAUGGAAUUCCUGGUGUAGCGGUGAAAUGCGCAGAUAUCAGGAGGAACACCGGUGGCGAAGGCGGUUCUCUGGGCAUUACCUGACGCUGAGGAGCGAAAGUGUGGGGAGCGAACA
rnacentral:rRNA from 1 species